rnacentral:rRNA from 1 species
AUGGCCUCGUCGGACGAGGCCCAUCGUGUGUGCCCAUGCUCGGCGCGUCAACGGAGGCGUUGCGCGGCCGCCAGCGCGUUCGGACGCCAGAAGGACCGCACGGCCUCCGGCGAGGCAGUUACAGCUGGCCUAGCGCUUGAUCCAUGCGUCAUUUGGGCGGACGCAAUGGAUUUCCAACGGAAGGAGUCCGAGCGCGGCCAUGCACGGGCCUCUUUCCGGGCGCGAUGGAGCAUAAGCUGGACGUCCAUCUCCUCUUUGGGGCAGCGUGGGAUGAGCUCGGGGGUCGACGGAUCUGAAGGUGAAGGACUUGGAUCCGCUGCCCACCAUGCCGGAGACGGCUGGAAGAAGCCCGAGACGAGCUUGGGUGACGGAGGAGAGUGGAGGGAAGGGGAGUGA